UGGCCCUUAAGUUCUCUUGAAUUGUCAAUUUUUGGCCCAUGUGACAAGAAGUUAGGACACCCCUGUUCCAGUCGGAUUAACCAACAGGAAAAUCGCCUGUAGUUUGAUCACAGUGGGAGCAAACUGGGUCUGGAUCUUCAUGUUCCUGGGUUCUAGAUCUAGAACCGGAUCUAACAAUUUUAACAGGUUCUGAUUGACCCCUCUUGGGAGGGUUCGGUCCAAACAGAGGUGAUUCUGUGCUAAUCAAUCCCAGUCAGCCCAGUUACCCCACUGCUUUACUCCAGACCCCACAGGAAGCUGGGACACCCACACACUGCAGAGAACAACAACCAGAACAUGGUUCUGUUUGUGUUUACCACAACCCGCCCUCCCACAGGGGGUUCUCCAGACCUGGACCCUGCUGUAGGUAAACACAAGAAAUCGACUGUUUCACCGAGUUCUUGUCGUUUCUUCCGACUAAACUUGUUAGUUUGUUGUUUAUCAUAAACAAUCUGUCCAACAGUAACCCUCACGCACAUGAAUGACUGAUCUGUCACCAGCACACCUGUCCAGCUUCCAUAACACACCACCAAGCAGAAUCUACGCUACUGCAGGGGGCGGGGCUUAAUCCGAGAGGGCGUGGCUACAGAGUGCAGUUUGCCUCUGGAGAGAGUCGACACUUUGCCACGGUCAGCACGCCAGCAGUUCGUAGGUUCUCCGCAGCGACUCGUCAGCUUCCAGACUCUGAUAAUAAUUUCCGUAAGGUGCCAACUGGAGGUUUGAGGUGUCAGUAAAGAUCUCUGUGAUGGUUCUCACCUUGAUCAGCAGCAUGAUUCCCGUCUUCAGUUCCGUCAGUUUGGGGGAGAUUUGGGUCCUCGGACCAGAACCUCCGGACAGAGAUCGGCUCGGAAACUCCCAGGACUCCACCAGGCGGUAGGAGAUUGACAACAACUUCAGAACCUGCAACCAAUCAGUGCAAAGCAGAUCCACAACGGAUUCAGAAGUCAGAACCAACUACCACCAGAUUCAGAACCGUUAGUAAUGGACCCAAGCUGCGGUUCUUAAAUCUUUUUGCACCGAGGACUAAAAAUCCCCAAACUGAAAGUAUUCCGGGGUCAAAAUGUUAUUUCCCCACAUUUUAUUUGACAACAAUCAGUGGCGGUGUCUGAUAACGCAGUGCACGUUCGUGGGUUAAUUUGCCCUUCUCAGUAUUUGACAGGCGGGCCCCCGGUGGAGGUGGGUCAGAUUUGCCCUGUGUGUUGUCUUGAAGGCAUGUGUAGUAUAAUUAUAUAUUGUGUAGUAGUCUAUAAUUAUCUGUAGUACUGUGUAGUAUAGUGAGGUGUUGUGUAUUCCAUCAGAGUAUUUUUUUAGUUCCUCUUACUACUGUUUGCUUUGUGUAAUACUAUUCUGUAGUAACCAUACUCCGUUUUACUGUGUAAUAAUGUACAAUACUUAGCAAGUGUGGUACUUUGUUCUGUUGUUUGGAACUAUGUAGUACUCUUUGAUACUGUGUAGCCCUCUAUAGUACUGUGUGGUACUGAGUAGAGCUCUGUAGUUAUGCGUAGUAUUUUGCCAUAUGUUUCCAUAGUACAGCAUAAUACUCUGUACUUCUGCAUGGUAUUUAUUAUGUAGUUCUGUAUAGUACAGUGUUAUAUUAUGUAGCACUAUAAUUAUUUGUACUCUAUCACAUGGUGAGGUUUAGUGUAGUACACCAUAGUAUUUUGUAGUUCUAUCAGGUGCUGUUUGAUACUGUGCAGUUCUGUAUAAUACUCUGUAGUUUUGUUUAGUACUGUUUUGUAGUAAGUCAUACUUGGUAGUAUUCUAUUAUUUUUAGUAGUACAGUGCCAUACUCUGUUGUAUUGUGUAGUACUAUUUAAAUAUACCACUCUGUAUUUCUGUGUAGUA